rnacentral:lncRNA from 1 species
CCAGUUGAUUUUUUAAAUGGUUGUACCAACACAACCGAGAAAAGGUUUGCACAUUGACCCAGUGAUGUGACACCGCUAAACGGGUCAGUGAAACCGAGAUUCAUUAGGGUCCGGGGACUUGGUUAUGCAGAGGGAAGGUGUUAGGCACCCCACGACAUCCGUGUUACCACGGUGACCGUCUCUUUUCAAGAAACUAUUAUUUGAAUGUGUGUGUGUGGGUCAAUAUGCUGUUAUUUGGAAGUAAUGUGAGGCCUCGUUCACACCUAUAUACACAGGGUUUGAAUUUAUGUAAAAAUUUAAUUUUAAGCAAG